GUGCCAGCCGCCGCGGUAAUACGGAGGAUCCAAGCGUUAUCCGGAAUCAUUGGGUUUAAAGGGUCCGUAGGCGGGAUAAUAAGUCAGUGGUGAAAGUCUGCAGCUCAACUGUAGAAUUGCCAUUGAUACUGUUAUUCUUGAGUGUUUAUGAAGUGGUUAGAAUAUGUAGUGUAGCGGUGAAAUGCAUAGAUAUUACAUAGAAUACCGAUUGCGAAGGCAGAUCACUAAUAAAAUACUGACGCUGAUGGACGAAAGCGUAGGUAGCGAACAGGAUUAGAAACCCGGGUAGUCC
rnacentral:rRNA from 1 species